CUAAACCGUCGGAGAAACGCUCUGAACAGCGACGUGUGUGUAUAUCGAGCAGGAGAGCAUGCUAGCUGAUGGCUAACACUUAAAUUAGCGUCCUUGGAACGGCGGAAUGAGUUUUCACGGUGCUUAUGGUACACGGUGCUGCUCGAGAGUGAGAAUAAAUCCACACCCGUUUGAAACUGCGUCUUGCUGAGUGAAUCCAAGGGGCCGCUACAAUAACUAAGUUCCUCAUUACAAAAACACCUCUCAAGGAAGUGUGCUAAUUCCAGAUCACAUGACCUGCUCCACAUGAUGUCAUUUCCUUCUGAAGAAAAGACUGCUCCGACAGGGGCCGUUGGAGAGAUACCGUCAUCCCCAGAGACAGGUGGCUGCAUUCCAGAUCCAGCAGCCAGGUCGAAGUCUCCAGUAGGAAAAAUGGGUCCCACGCUGCUGUUCUCGCCCCUUCCAAAGGAGUCUUCCUUUACAGGAAGAUCCUUCGUUGGGUCUUCUGGCUCCUCUGUCCUCACCUCUGUGGUAACGCCAGUGGCUGAUGGAGUUGCAGCUUCUUCCUCCUCCCCAGGAGCCCCUUCCCCAGGGGCUGCUGUUGUGUGACCAGCCUCACUCUCAGUGGCGUCCUCGGGUUGAGAUUUUGGAGUCGUCUCCGGUCCCUCCUCGCCUUCUGCUGGUGUCAGAGCCUCAGGCUGUGCUGAGGGCUCAGCUGAUUGGAAAACAGACGAGGUCAUGCAUGAUUAAAGUCACGCAUGAGUACAGCCAAGCCAAGUCAUUUACAUGGCACAUUUACAACAGCUACUGAGCCAAAACGGUUUAAUAAUCCAUGAAUACAAUUAAGUUAAACCCUACAGUAUUAUUUAUUUUAAUUUACCAGAGUAAUUCAAGUACUGUGGUUAAAAUUAUUAUUAUUAUUAUUAUUAUUAUUAUUAUUAUUAUUAUUAUUAUUAUUAUUAUUAUUAUUUCUAACCAGAUUAAUAAAAUCCGAAAAUAUUAACAUUAGUGCAAGGUUUAGACCCUGGACAAUAUUAUAGAAAAUACUAAUUAAUGUCUACAAUACAAUAUACUCAACAUACAAAACUUGUAGCUUUUUAUAUAUUUUGUAAGCAAUCAACCAUCUUUUAAAAAGAAAAACUGACAGUAUCUAUCAUGCCUUACAGCCUAAUUACAUUCCCUUUGGGGAUUUAAAUCUUUUGCUUUUGUAAUCUAAUCUUAUCGCACAGUGACAAUUAGUUUUUGUGCUAAGUUACAGUGCAAAGUUACACAAAAUGGCUGAGUGACUUUUCCAGUAAAGCUGAACUGUUCACAGUGCUGUAGUCAGUCAUUCCUCAUACAGUGCUGCAUAAUAUAGUUUAAAUAGGUAGAGCUAAAUUACUGAACAGUCCUUUGACAGGAUCAUGUCUGAAUGUGACCCAAAUUAUUCUCAUUGCUCACAGUAUUUGUUUUAGUACAAGGUUUUAGUGUAACAUUUUACAUUUUUUCACAUCCCCAUGUAAAUGUGUACAUAGUAAUUUAUUUUAGCAUUUUGCCUUAACGAAUCAUAAUUUUUUUUGUAAUUCUGUCCUUUGCAGAAUAAUCCACAAACUAAUAGCCGUAAUGAGGCCAUGUUAAAUUCUAACACUGCUAAUGAAUGGUUUGACUGUUGUACUUAGAGCUGAAACAGGAUACUCAGUGGCUGGGACCUUUUAUGAGCACUCAUUGCCAUAAAAAGUAACCUCACUCGGUGGUUUUUUGUUCAGCCGAAUAGAAUUUGGGUUAACCACAUGUCCCGCCUCAGGUAUCAUCACUAGGAGCUGAGAGUUGACUGUUGACUACACAGAGAUGAGGUCAUUUGGUAACUAGACUGACUUGUUCUAAGAGGUUUCCUUUACUCUAUUUACAGGUCAGAAAAUUAUAUAAUCCUGCAAAAUAAUCUUUCCUGUUAGCUUAAUGAUUGACGUCAUAUAAAAUACAUCAUCUUCCUGCUUUGGUGUCCGUUCACUGUAUAUUGGUGUUUACAUUUUGAAUGUUAAAUGUAUGAGAAGGUGAAUGAGCAUAGUGCACUGACCUGGUUCGUCUGAGGGUAACUGUUCAUUUAUUGUAAAUGCUUUCGAACAGUUCUUCUCAGGCCCAUCUGACACAUGGAGGAACAGGAAGACAACGUUACCAAAACAGAAGCAAAUCACAAAGUCCAUGCAAAAACGAACGUGAAUUUAUAUGGCAAUUUGUGUAGCAGCAUUUCACUGUGCAGAUCAAGUGUGAGUAUUUCCUGUGGGUAAAGUCACCUGUUUCAUCAUAGCAGUAGGCAUCAUAUCGAUCUCCUUCUUCUAUGCGUGAAUGAGUAAUCAACCCAGUCAUGUUCUUUGCGCAGUUCUCGUGUGGUGUGUGUCUGAGGAUGGCAGUGCUCCCAUUGUUGUUCCAGCCGUUCCUGAACGGACAUAAGAAAUAUUAGAAGCUGUAAACAUUUGCUGAAACGGAAAGGAAUCCGUCUCCAAGUUGCCAAGUCUAAGGCCAUUACAUCACUAAACAGCUGGUGGUUUCCUUUACUGUAUUUGGAAGUGCGAUGGUUACCAAGUGCACGUGAAUUUCAAGUUAUGUUAGAGGAUUUCACACUGAUUAGUGUAACAGUGUAUAUGUAAUUAAAUAAUUCCACUUGCUACAGUUUGGUCGUAUUUGUUGUUGGCUCGGUGGCGCCCUCUCUGGAGCUGUGGUGUGCGGCUGGCGUUGAUGGCACGCUGUCAGUUCUGGAGAGACGUGCAUGAGAAAUAAACGGCAAAACAAAAA